UCAGUAAACAUCUACUCAGAGUCAACUUUUCUCUUCACCACUGUGAGGCGCUGUUUCACAAUAACUGUACAAUAGAGUUAAAUACAUCAACAGAAGCUCCACUUGAUUGACGCUGGAAUGUUCUCAGGUAGUCUAGUGUUCGGUAAGGGAGCUGAAGCGAUGCAUUAUGGGAUCUGUAGUUUGUGUUAUCAGCGCUUCAUAUCGACGGGACAUUAAUAACAAUAAUAAUAGAUCUUUAUAAAAUAAUCUCGCGGGACAGAUAUAAUUGUACGUCGGGUCGGAUGUGACACUGGGUUUGACACCCCUGAUCUCUGUGAAGACACUGAUCAUCUUAAUGAUUUCUCACAAUAAUUAUCAACAAUCAUUUAACAAGGUAGAAAACAGAUAUUUUUAGAAAAGGCUCAUGGGCGACUCAUGUGGUCCUUGCGGGCGACCUGGUGCACCACGUUGGUGACCCCUGCACUAGAUUUUGUGCUUGUGGACAUUUGUGUUCAUUAUCUACAAGUGUGUUAGUAAAGAAGGUGAGAAGGUGAGGAGUUCUGGGGUGCAGUCGGUGUUUACAUUCAUCCCCAAGGUGUUCAGUCAUUCAGUAAGGAUGAUCCAGCAGGCUACUCGACAUCUUCCUCUCCAAUCCAUAUAAAGCAGAUCUUCAUGGAGCUGGCUUUGUGCACUUCCAUGCUGGAACAGGUUUGAGUUUCGAAGUUCAAGUGAAACAAAUUUUAUUAUAUUUUUAUUAUACCGCAUCCAAAGACAUAUAAGGACAAAAUCUAAAUCCUACACGUAAUUUUUACAUUUAGAUUUUCAUAUUAUAUAUUUUAAUAUCCUCAUCUCGUUUGAAAUCUCCACAGCAGAUCAUCCGUCUCCAUACCACUCUGUUCUCUCACUCCUUGAUCUUCCUCUUUUCCUUCAUCCUCAGUGUUCUUCUACUGAUAUACCCCAUAUCCCUUAUCUGAACAUCACCAAACCUCAAAUCACCUCGUCUCCACAAAUUCCCACCUGCACUGUCCCUCUAAUAAAAUCCUUCCCAAUCCUGUACAUCUUCAUCUCUUCACCACCAGCUUCACCUCCUGUCUUUUUAACCCUCAUCCUGUCUUCUCAGAGACCGAGAUUUCAACUCGAUUUAUUUUAAUGACUGAUAUAAAUAAAGUUCAACAGUAUUUAUGUUGUGCAUGUGGGCAGAAGGUCUCAGUUCUCAGCGUGGGGUUCAGAUUAAAUCAGGACGGAGCGAUUGACCAGGUCUCAGCAUUCAGCGUUCCAUCUUUUUGUUUGGGAUGAUGACUACAGGGUCGCUCCAUUCGCUUCUGGAUGGCCUUCACCUCGUCUCGUAAGGGUUCCAGUAGACUUUCUGGGACAUGGUAAGAUUGUGGAAUAGUUCAGUUACUGGUCCACAGGUGAAGCUCUCGGGGUCUUUUGGGUGCUUGAUGUUCAGCUCUUUGCUGUUUUUUCUUACUUCUGGUUUUGGUUCCUCAGCCUUUGCAGGUGGCUUUUACUAUAAGUCAUUCACCAGGCCAUCUUUCUUACUACACCUUCAUCCCCUGCCAUGUUGGAAGGAGAACACCUUCUGCCCUGGCUGUAGCUCUCUCUCUCUGUCUCUCUGUUUCUCUCUCUCUGUCAAGUGUUUUGUUUACACCAUGUCUUCUAUGUUGUCUGGGCUUCUAUCAGGUUUUCUGUUUCCUCCGCUUGAUAGUCUCCAGAACAUACCGAAAGAUGGUUUCUUCUUUCCACUGCAACAGGAUCCAUCCAAGAGGUCCUUACACUUAGCAGUUGUAGAGGAGCUCAGAUGGGGAGAAACCAGUCAAAGCUUGAGGCACUUCAGCGACUUCCUCCAGACUACACCCCUGAUAAGGACAUUGCUCUCCAAUGAGGACAUCAUGGACAAUGUCACUCAACCCCCUCAGGUGAAUAAACCUGAGACCCAAAAGCAGAUGUGAGGGAACCACCAUCAGAGGCUGGAGAACAUCGUCAAGUAGAUGGUGGUGGAGAAUAAGGUGUAUGUCUUGUCUUACUGUAUAGUUGGAGCUCAGCAGAAAAAAACCUCCACCACCUCCAAGAUAAGUGUGACCAUUUUUUUAUUAUUUAUAUUUUAUAAUUUUUGUUAUUUGUUAAAUACAUUUUAGAAAGAAUAAUUUUUUUUUAGCCUAAGGGGAUUUUCUUUGUUUCGUUGUGCCUAAAGAGAAAGUGUCUGCUAACCUAUCCACAAGUUAAUGUUCUGGACUGUAACAGAACACAAAUGUUUAUGUUUAUCGAGUUCUACACAUAACACUCACAUUUCAUAACCUUGUGCUCCGGAACAUCUGAUCACAUGCACAUUAUCAACUUGUGCUUGUUAAUAUCAUGAACAGCAUCUACACUAAGUUCUCUCCACUGCUUCUCUUUCUCUACCCAUCCCGAGGUUGCACCAGUUCCAGUCGUGUCCCCCUCAAGGACCUUCAACGAGUAGAUGCCAGCAAACAUCCUGAACCAUCUAAAUACACACCAGCACCAUUUGGAUUCCAUUUUAUGUAGAGUUUGGACAUUGGACCUCUUUGAGUGUUUAAAGGC